CUGGAAUCGAACCUGGGACCCAGGUGCUAUCUGAGAUGCCUAAGAAUUUGUUCUUAAUUCGUUCUUUGGGAUUUAUCCUCGGAUUCUCUGGGAAUCCAGAUCCAAAUUGACAGUGGAUAUGGAAGGAAGACCAUUUUGAUGAUUAAUGUGGGCUCGGCGGUUGCUGAGGAGGCAGGGACAACACUUGAUUAAUCUGGACAGCUGGAUGACACCGAACAGAAAGAUGCCGGCUGUCGAGGACCGGGAUAAAACCGAGGAAAAUGACUGGAUUUUCUUGAUGAAUGCCUGUGUAUUUUCUGUCUGUUUAAUGUUUGUGAAAUCAGUGCUAAAAAUGCCAGGUUCAUUUCAGAAGUAAAUCCUUCACUGCA